AUUGAACGCUGGCGGAAUGCUUUACACAUGCAAGUCGAGCGGCAGCACGGGGGCAACCCUGGUGGCGAGCGGCGAACGGGUGAGUAACACAUCGGAACGUACCCUGUAGUGGGGGGAUAACGAAUCGAAAGAUUCGCUAAUACCGCAUACGACCCGAGGGUGAAAGCGGGGGAUCGCAAGACCUCGCGCGACAGGAGCGGCCGAUGGCGGAUUAGCUAGUUGGUGGGGUAAAGGCCCACCAAGGCGACGAUCCGUAGCGGGUCUGAGAGGACGGCCCGCCACACUGGGACUGAGACACGGCCCAGACUCCUACGGGAGGCAGCAGUGGGGAAUUUUGGGACAAUGGGGGGCAACCCUGAUCCAGCCAUUCCGCGUGAGUGAAGAAGGCCU
rnacentral:rRNA from 1 species